rnacentral:sRNA from 2 species
GAUUCUUACUUGUGUUCCCGAUAGGAUCUAGUUAAAUACUAGAUAUGCCUUGUAACCGAAUCGAAGGGGGAAAUAAAAAUG